rnacentral:misc_RNA from 1 species
UCACAGUCUCAAGCUUGGCUUGUUGUUGGGCCUUUUGUCACCUGGUGACAGGUCCCAAAGACAAUAACCGGUGUCAUACAGACUCUAUGUGCAACGAGCUUACCACAGCACGCAUUUGGUAGUUAUGUGGCCCGGUUCUCAUAUAUGAAAACAAAUAUAUUUUUCAAA